rnacentral:rRNA from 1 species
CUUUAUUGGAGAGUUUGAUCCUGGCUCAGGAUGAACGCUGGCGGCGUGCCUAAUACAUGCAAGUCGAGCGAAUGGAUUAAGAGCUUGCUCUUAUGAAGUUAGCGGCGGACGGGUGAGUAACACGUGGGUAACCUGCCCAUAAGACUGGGAUAACUCCGGGAAACCGGGGCUAAUACCGGAUAACAUUUUGAACCGCAUGGUUCGAAAUUGAAAGGCGGCUUCG